rnacentral:rRNA from 1 species
AUUGAACGCUGGCGGCAUGCCUUACACAUGCAAGUCGAACGGCAGCACGGGUGCUUGCACCUGGUGGCGAGUGGCGAACGGGUGAGUAAUAUAUCGGAACGUACCUUAUUGUGGGGGAUAACGCAGCGAAAGCUGUGCUAAUACCGCAUAAUCCCUAAGGGGGAAAGCGGGGGACCGUAAGGCCUCGCGCAAUUAGAGCGGCCGAUACCUGAUUAGCUAGUUGGUGAGGUAAAGGCUCACCAAGGCAACGAUCAGUAGCUGGUCUGAGAGGACGAUCAGCAACACUGGGACUGAGACACGGCCCAGACUCCUACGGGAGGCAGCAGUGGGGAAUUUUGGACAAUGGGGGCAACCCUGAUCCAGCAAUGCCGCGUGAGUGAAGAAGGCCUUCGGGUUGUAAAGCUCUUUUGUCAGGGAAGAAACAGCAGCUCUAACACAGUUUGCGAAUGACGGUACCUGAAGAAUAAGCACCGGCUAACUACGUGCCAGCCGCCGCAGUAA